CAGUAGCCGCGGGAACACGUAGGGUGCAAGCGUUAAUCGGAAUUACUGGGCGUAAAGCGUGCGCAGGCGGUUAUAUAAGACAGAUGUGAAAUCCCCGGGCUCAACCUGGGAACUGCAUUUGUGACUGUAUAGCUAGAGUACGGCAGAGGGGGAUGGAAUUCCGCGUGUAGCAGUGAAAUGCGUAGAUAUGCGGAGGAACACCGAUGGCGAAGGCAAUCCCCUGGGCCUGUACUGACGCUCAUGCACGAAAGCGUGGGGAGCAAACAGGAUUAGAUACCCGCGUAGUCCCUGUCUCUUAUAA
rnacentral:rRNA from 1 species